AUUAUAAAUUUCUGUUUCAAUAUUAUUGUGUUUUUUAAAAAGUUUUUAUUUUAAUUCCAAAUAGUUAAUGUACAGUGUUAUAUUAGUUUCAGGUGGUUUAUAUGGUAGACACAAACAGUAAAUAAAUGAAAAAUUAAAAAUGAAUAUAUAAUAAGCAAUGUGGCAAUUAAUAUUAUUUUGCAUAAUUAGUUUAAAAAUAAAUUUAAAAUACCUAUUUUACAAGGUACAUGCAUUUUAGGGAUAAAUCAAACACCUAGUGUUUUGUGGAAUCAGCAAUUAUGGGAAAAAUAGAAGGCUUUGUAAAGACUGAGGAAAAUAAUGUAUAGAAGAAUAUAACAUAAAAUACAGGGGAGUGUGAUUAAAGCCUACGCUUUAAAGAAAACAAAUAAAAUACAUAAAAAUCAUAGAGAGUAAUAUAGAGCACAUGCCAAUGAAAGAGCUCUGAUUAAAAGUAUGUAGUUUUAAUAGAGGAGACUAUCACAGAUGUAAAAAUAAAGUAAAAUUGACUUCUGACUCCAUAAAAACAAUACACAAUGGAUUGGAGGAAAAAAUUAAGGCACUUAAAAGAAAUGGGUUAAAGUUUAGUUAGAUCAGACAUUUUACAAAAUAAAAAUCUAAAAUCUAGCUAAAGAAAAGUCAGGCAUAAAAUAGUUGGUCAGUAGUGGAGAAUGAAAGGAAGUCCCUAGGAUCAGUGAGAAGCGAUAUUCAUCCCAACAGAUUUCAAGUCUUGUCCCAUUGGAAAAGUUAUCCUUAAUGUAGAGAGAGAGAUGAGUCUGGAAUUCCUAUUAGCCUGAUACCACUAAGUAUACUAUUCAUAUAAAUAACUCCCUUGAGUUCCCCUUCUGAUGAGAAUGAGAAGCUGGGCAUCUAGGUCACUUGUAUAGAAAGAAAGAAUGGAUUGAGCAGAGGAGUCAAGUGGCUGCUCUCUCUAUUGGCCAUUUUGCUUCUCAUUGUAAAGCAUAGAAGCUCUGCUUCAUAAUGGUAUGUGAGUGGGUUUGAAUCAAACCCUGUGAAUGAGAUCCAGCCUCUUCUUGUUUUAACCAAUCAAUUUUGAGUCAGUGGGUCAAAGAACAGAAUGUGGACCUUGAUAAAACCACAGCACACCACACCA
rnacentral:lncRNA from 1 species